rnacentral:misc_RNA from 1 species
GCAUUUUCAAUUUCAUUGAUUUCUUCAUCUUUCGUUUUUUUCUUGUGAAGCACUGUUGAUUCGCCGCGUUGACUGAUUGUUCUUCAUUUUCUUCCCUCAAAUAGUAUGGAUUAAGUGUUUGAUUUGGUUUUGUUGAUUCGCAUUUCCUGAAGGAAUCGUUCUCCGUUUGAUCGUGUAAAUUCUUCCACGGCGUUUCCAUAUCGAAGGGUUGGGUCUAGGGUUAGGGCGAUGCGGAUGGAAGCGUCCGGUGCAAAUUCGGACGCUCAGAGAGGUAUCUCAUCAACGAGUAAUAAUAUUGGUAGUAAUUCUAGAAGGCAUGGAGUACAAUUAUCGGCUGCCAAUUUGUUUCGUUCUCCGUUAUCGACGUUGUUGGAAUAUUCUGGAAUUUUAAGGACAAGAUCAAGUCAUACAGAAACGGAUAGUUUGAUAAAUAGUCAAUUUCAGCCUCGUUUGGAUGAUGCUGGGACAUCUCCAGCUUCUCCGGGUGGCUCUGGGGAAGUUUCAAUUAGGAUUAUUGGUGCCGGUGAGCAGGAACAUGAUAGAGUUGGGAAUGUAGUGCCAUCACCAGCUGUUGGUGGAACUCUGAGGGAAGGGGAUGGAGAAAAUGAAGUUUUUGGGAGGACGAUUUCGAGGUCGGCGUCUGCAGCUUCAGUUGGAGCAUUGGAGAGUCAAUUGAGUGAUAGAGGGGCGGGAGAUGGAGUUACUCAGCAGGUGAAUGGAAAUACG